UACGUAGGUGGCAAGCGUUGUCCGGAUUUAUUGGGUUUAAAGGGUGCGUAGGCGGCCUUGUAAGUCAGUGGUGAAAUAUCUCAGCUUAACUGAGAGGGUGCCAAUGAUACUGCAGGGCUUGAGUACAGAUGAGGUAGGCGGAAUUGACGGUGUAGCGGUGAAAUGCUUAGAUAUCGUCAAGAACACCUAUAGCGAAGGCAGCUUACUAGCUGUAACUGACGCUGAGGCACGAAAGUGUGGGGAUCAAACAGG
rnacentral:rRNA from 1 species